UCAUCUGUCUGUCUGUCUGUCUGUCUGUCUGUGUCUAUCUAUCUAUCUAUCUAUCUAUCUAUCUAUCUAUCUAUCUAUCUAUCUAUCUAUCUAUCUAUCUAUCUAUCUAUCUCUCUGUCUGUCUGUCUGUCUGUCUGUCUGUACGUACAUACAGCUUGAUGAAGGUUUAAAAAUGCCCCAGUGCUUAAGACGAGGCCCUGAGACUGAUCUAUAGGCUUGGUGUUUGCAGACCCAGUGUCUGGUAAAAGGGCCACACAUGAGCAUCUGCACAUUUACAGACUGUUCAUCAGGAGUUGCUGAGGAAACCCAUGGAGACUUAGGACAUCUGAUUGGUCAUGACGCAGGUAUUGACAGGAGCAUCUGCAAGAGUGCAGAGUUUCUCAGGAAUCUGAACUGAAUAAUUGGAGGUUAAGGGCCUUGCUCAGGGGCCCAGCAGUGGCAGCUUUGAUAGACUGGCAUCCUACCCAGUGUGUAAGAGUCUUCUGGGAUAGCCUCCAGGUUCGAUGGAUGGAUGGAUGAAUGGAUAUUCAUUCCCUCAGUUUGUAUUUUGAUGAUGAUGAUGAUGGUGAUGGUGAAAAGUGUCUAACAAACAAAAAAAGCCAAGCAGACAGAAUAAUUUUGUAUUGAUUUACAGUGACACUUUUGUCCCCUAAUGGGACAAACCCUUCUAAAUCUCUACUAUUACUUGGACAGUAUCCCCUCCUGGGUGAGACUUUGUUUCUUAGACACUUUUGCCAACCAGAGGACUUAAUAACCAUCCAAAUGGCAGGUUGACCUUCUCCCUCAGUGUCUUUACAGAAAUAUAGUUGGGGCAAAUGUACUAACAUUAACAAUAACUACCCUGGAUAUACACCGACCAGGCAAAAUAUUAUGACCACCUGCCUAAUAUUGUGUUGGUCACUGCCAAAACAGCCCUGACCCAUCAUGCACUGUGUAUUCUGACACCUUUCUAUCAGAACCAGCAUUAACUUCUUCAGCAAUUUGAGCAACAGUAGCUCGUCUGUUGGAUCGGAUCACACGGGCCAGCCUUCUCUUCCCAUGUGUAUCAGUGAGCCUCGACUGCCCAUGACCCUGUCGCCGGAUCACCACUGUUCCUUCCUUGGACCACUAUUGAUAGAUACUGACCACUGCAGACCGGGAACACCCCACAAGAGCUGCAGUUUUGGAGAUGCUCUGAUCCAGUGGUCUAGGAAGUGCUCUACAUGCAGGAGGUGGUGUGAGUUCGGUUGAACUGGAACUGGUCUGUGAUUCACUCGAACGUGAACUCGAACCCGGGUCUGCACUCGUUCAUUUGUAGCUGUUGGCUGCAGCUGCUCUAAACUGUUGAUGUCUUUCCCAAAGACUACAUCUGCUUUUGAGAAGGAAUGUCAGGGGAAUGCAGUCAAGAGAAUUCUAGAGCUGGACCGUUUUCUACAUCUCUCCCAUAGUGAGCGACGGAGGUCUGACCAUAGGCCAAAAUUCUUUUAAUAGUCUUGUAAGACUACUUAUGUUUUAAUUCA